AAAGAGAAAAUACAUGUUUUUUAGGGUACUAUUACAAAGGAAAGUAUGAUAAAGCAUGUCUGUAAUACUUUUAUUUUUACUCUGUUAGUAGUGGCGAGCUGAGCAGUUUCUACAUACAUGGCAUCCAAUAAACACCUAUUGAACAAACACCAUAAAUACUUAGAAUUUUGGGCUAUAAACAAUAUAAAAUAUAAUUUAAAAAUUGAUGGUCCCACCUAUUGGUUAUGAUAUGAAGUAUAAAAAUGAUCACUUACAUAAUAAGUUAUUUCAUGUUUUCCAAUCAUGUUACUUAUUCCCACAGGGAUUCUUUGAGGAGCUGGAAGGCAAAGUUGGUUCAUGCAGAUGUAAGGCACUAAUAUUUUCAACUGGGGUGCUCUCCACUGGGUGCCUAUUAAAUGCUCAGCACUUUGAAGGAUACCAGAGAAGUAAAGGCAUGGCCCCUGACUUCAAGGAGUAUUUUAUCCAGUUGGGUGGGACGCUACUUCAGACUGCUUUCAUGUCAAGAGCUGCCUCGUCUUCCAAAGUGGGAGUUCCCAGCAUCAGACUUGUGGGGGUGGAAGCUUAAUCCGCCUCCUUCCAAAAACUGAAAGAGCUCUGCCUGCCCUUGAGUAACUAGAAGCACGCCUUUGCUCAAGUCGAGAGCUGCUAUCAGGACAGAAACAUCUACUGCCAUGUAGAAGAGUAAGGAGUGGAGAAAACACUAAAAUUUCCACCUUAAAGUGGCCAGGUUUUUAAUAAUUAAGGUACCAAUAAAUAUAAGGAAUAUAAAAUGGUUCUUAAUCAAGG